rnacentral:rRNA from 1 species
AGCGAACGCUGGCGGCAGGCUUAACACAUGCAAGUCGAGCGGACCUUUCGGGGUCAGCGGCGGACGGGUGAGUAACGCGUGGGAACGUGCCUUCCGGUUCGGAAUAACCCUGGGAAACUAGGGCUAAUACCGGAUACGCCCUUAUGGGGAAAGGGUUAAUGCCGGAAGAUCGGCCGGCGUCUGAUUAGCUAGUUGGUGGGGUAACGGCAUAUCAAGGCGUCGAUCGGUAGCUGGUCUGAGAGGAUGAUCACCCACACUGGGACUGGGACACGGUCCAGACUCCUACGGGAGGCAGCAGUGGGGAAUAUUGGAAAAGGGGCGCAGGCCUGAUCCAGUCAGGCCGCGUAAGUGAUGAAGGCCGUAGGGUAGUAAAGCUCUUUUAUCCGGGACGAUAAUGACGGUACCGGAGGAAUAAGCCCCGGCUAACUUCGUG